GAUGAACGCUGGCGGCGUGCUUAACACAUGCAAGUCGAACGAAGCACUUUUAAUUCUUCGGAAGAGAAAGUGACUGAGUGGCGGACGGGUGAGUAACGCGUGGGUAACCUGCCUUAUACAGGGGGAUAACAGUUAGAAAUGACUGCUAAUACCGCAUAAGCCGAUAGAGUCGCAUGACUUAGUCGGAAAAGAUUUAUCGGUAUAAGAUGGACCCGCGUCUGAUUAGCUAGUUGGUGAGGUAAUGGCCCACCAAGGCGACGAUCAGUAGCCGGCUUGAGAGAGUGAACGGCCACAUUGGGACUGAGACACGGCCCAAACUCCUACGGGAGGCAGCAGUGGGGAAUAUUGCACAAUGGGGGAAACCCUGAUGCAGCAACGCCGCGUGAAGGAGGAAGUAUUUCGGUAUGUAAACUUCUAUCAGCAGGGAAGAAAAUGACGGUACCUGACUAAGAAGCCCCGGCUAACUACGUGCCAGCCGCCGCGGUAA
rnacentral:rRNA from 1 species